AGGAGGGGGGGGGGCAGGGGGGGUUAUUGACAUCCACGUGUGCCGGCCUUGGUCUGGGUCUUGGCGAGAGAGAGAGAGAGAGGGGACUCCGUUAAAGCGCCUCCUCUCCCCUCAGUGUGUGUCUAGCAGUGACGGGGAGAGGUUGUGCGUUCGUGCGUCCGGCGUGUAGUGAGUGUGUGUGCGUGUGUGUGUGUGCGUGCGUGCGUGUGUGUGUAUGACCUCAGCCCCCUCUUUCCCUCCUCCUCCUCCUCUUCCUACCUGGUGAGGGGAGGGAAGAAGAGGAGGAGUUAAGAGUGUUGCUGUGUUAGUGUUUCUUGAAGCUGUGUUGUGGAGGAGAGAGAGAGAGAGAGAGAGAGAGAGAGAGAGAGAGAGAGAGAGAGAGAGAGAGAGAGAGAGAGAGAGAGAGAGAGAGAUUGGAGGUAAGGGAAGGAAAGAAGGGAGGAGAAGGAGGAGGGAAAAUGUGAAGUUCUGUAGAGGGAGAGAAGAAAGGAAGAGAUGGGAGGUAAGGAAGAAAGGAAGGAAGAGGAGGAGGAGGAGGAGGAGGAAGAAAAAAAUGUGAAGUUCUGUAGAGGGAAAGAGAGAAAGGAGGAGAGGAGAUAACGAAGGAGAUGGGAGGUAAGAAAGGAAAGAAGGAAGGAAGGAGAAGGAGGAGGAAAAGUGUAAGUUGUGGAGAGAGAGAGAGAGAGAGAGAGAGAGAGAGAGAGAGAGAGAGAGAGAGAGAGAGAGAGAGAGAGAGAGAGAGAGAGAGAGAGAGAAGAAAGGAGAUGGGAGGUAAGGGAAGGGAGGAGGAGGAGGGAGAAGAAAAAUGUGUUGCAGUGUUGUAUGGAGGGAAGAGAGAGAGAGAGAGAGAGAGAGAGAGAGAGAGAGAGAGAGAGAGAGAGAGAGAGAGAGAGAGAGAGGGUAAAGGAAGGAAGAAAGGAAAGGUUAUUUAUAGGCUUGUUUAAGAGAGAGAGAGAGAGAGAGAGAGAGAGAGAGAGAGAGAGAGAGAGAGAGAGAGAGAGAGAGAGACUUUAUGGCUUGGAGGAAAGGAAGGAGGAAAGAAUUUAGUCUGGAGAGAGAGAGAGAGAGAGAGAGAGAGAGAGAGAGAGAGAGAGAGAGAGAGAGAGAGAGAGAGAGAGAGAGAGAGAGAGAGAGAGAGAGAGAGAAUGGAGGUAUAAGACAGGAUAUGAGAAAAAGAAACAGAGGAAAAGGAGGAAGAAAGGGAAGGGAAGGGAAGGAAGGGAAAUGAAGGGAAGGGAAAGGAAAGGAAGGGUAAGGAAAGGAAGGGAAGGGAAAGGAAAGAAAAGGAAAGGAAGGGAAGGGAAAGGAAGGCAAGAGAUGGGAAAGGAAGAGAAGGGAAGGGAAAGUAAAGAAAGGGAUGGGAAAGGAAGAGAAGGGAAGGGAAGGAAAGGAAGGGAAGGGAAGGGAAAGGAAAGAUAUUAGAAGGAAAAGCUGAAGAGGAAAAAAAGAAAAAGAAGGAAGAGGAAGAAACAUUUAACACGAAAAAGGAAGAGUAAAAAACAAAGGAAGGAAGGAAGGAAAAAUGGAAGAGAGAAAGAAACAAUAGAUGAAGAGAAAGAGGAAGGAAGGGAGGGAGGAAAAAGUUAAAAGUUGUUCUGCGAGAGAGAGAGAGAGAGAGAGAGAGAGAGAGAGAGAGAGAGAGAGAGAGAGAGAGAGAGAGAGAGUUUACUGUUGUCUUAUAUAUAAUUUUCUCUUACCUGUUGCAAUUUUCUCUCUCUCUCUCUCUCUCUCUCUCUCUCUCUUAUUAUUAUUAUUAUGAGAAGAGAAAGAAGGAAAGGAAGAGGAAGAAAGGGAGAGAGAAAGAGGGAAAAAGGGGGAAAGGAGAGGGAGGGAGAAAAGAAAGGAAGAAGGUGAAAGAAGAAGAGGAGGAAAGAAGAAAGGGGGGAGGGAGGAAAGCAAGAUAAAGGAGAGGGAAGGAAGAAAAAAUGGGACAGAAAGAGAAGAAAAAGCGAAAGAAAAAUAAAAGAAAGAGGGAGAAAGGAGAAAGAAAAGAACAGGAAAAGAGAAGAAAAGAAGGAAGAGGAGGAGGGAAAAGAGGAAACGGAGAGGAAGAGAGAAAGGAGGAGGAAAAGGAAAGGUUAGAGACAGGGAGGAGAAGAAGGAAGAGAAGACGAAAAAGGAGAAGGAAAUGAAGGAAAGGGAGAGGAAGAGAAAAAGAAGGAAGAAAAGGAAAGGAAAAGAAAAGAAGGAAGGCAGAGAGAAGAAGAAAAAGGAGGAAAAGGAAGGAAGAGAGAAAGGAAGAGGAAUUAAUAGGGAAAGGAAAGAAAGAGAAGAAGGAGGAGGAAAAGGACGGGAAAAGAAAAGGAGGGAGACGGAGGAGGAGAAGAAGAAGGAGAAGAAAAGAAAAAAGAGGAGGAAAAGGAAGGAAGAGAGAAAGGAAGAGAAGAGGGAGGAGGAAAAGGAGUGGAAAAGAAAACAAGGGAGACAGGGAGGAGAAGGAAUAGAAGAAAAGAAGAAAGAAAAGAAAAAGAGGAAGAGGAAGAGGAGGAAAAAUUGUUACAAACUUUUCAUUUUCAAACGGAAGAAAAUGACCCUAAAAAAUGUUAAUCAGUAAGACUUUUUUUAUAAUUUCUCGGUCAUUUGGUACAGAAAAAAAGUUAAUAGAAGAGAGAGAGAGAGAGAGAGAGAGAGAGAGAGAGAGAGAGAGAGAGAGAGAGAGAGAGAGAGAGAGAGAGAGAGAGAGAGAGAGAGAGAGAGAGAGAGAGAGAGAGAGAGAGAGAGAGAGAGAGAAGUAUGUUUAGAGGAAUGAAGAAAAUAUGAGGGAAAACUCGUCAAAAAAAAAUUAUACCCCAGAAAAAUUAUCAAGAAGAGGAGAAGAAAUAAAAAAAAAAAGUAAAGGAGAAACUUAAUAAAAAGGAAAAGAGGAAAAGAAAAAAAAUAAUAAAUGAACGUAAAUUUAGAAGCAGAAUACAUGAGGAAAACAGUGAAAAUAUUACCAUCGUUAUCAGUCAAUUUUUACGAAGAGAGGAAGGAAAAAGAGAAAGGAUAAGAAAGAUUAGGUAGAGUAAGAAAAACAAGAACAGAAAAAAGAGAAAAUGAGAGAUAAAUUAAGAUACAGAAGGGAAAAAAAGAUAAAGAAAAGAAGGAUUAGCGUUAGACAGACUGGUUGAAAUGAAUGAAAAAGGAAAGUUGGUCAAGAAAUAAGAAAAAAUAUUAAGAAAGUAAUUUUGAAGGAGAGAAAGAUUGAAAAAAAGAAAAUGUACAGGUGAAAAGUUUGACAGAUUGCUUGAAAUGAAUGAAAAAGAAAAGUUGGUCAAGAAAUAAGAAAAAAUAUUAAGAAAGUAAUUUUGAAGGAGAAAAAGAUUAAAAAAAAAAAUGUACAGGUGAAAAGUUUGACAGAUUGCUUGAAAUGAAUGAAAAAGGAAAGUUGGUCAAGAAAUAAGAAAAAAUAUCAAGAAAGUAAUUUUGAAGGAGAGAAAGAUUAAAAAAAAGAAAAUUGUACAGGUGAAAAGUUUGACAGAUUGCUUGAAGUGAAGGAAAAAGGAAAGUUGGUCAAGAAAUAAGAAAAAAUAUUAAGAAAGUAAUUUUGAAGGAGAGAAAGAUUAAAAAAAGAAAAUUGUACAGGUGAAAAGUUUGACAGAUUGCUUGAAAUGAAUGAAAAAGAAAAAUUGGUCAAGAAAUAAGAAGGAAUAUCAGGGGAGUAAUUUUGAAGGAGAGAAAGAUUAAAAAAAGAAAAUGUACAGGUGAAAAGUUUGACAGAUUGCUUGAAAUGAAUGAAAAAGGAAAGUUGGUCAAGAAAUAAGAAAGAAUGUCAAGGGAGUCAUUUUGAAGGAGAGAAAGAUUAAAAAAAAAAGUAAAAAUUAAAUAAAAAAAUAAAAUGUACAGGUGAAAAGUUUGACAGAUUGCUUGAAAUGAAUGAAAAAGGAAAGUCGGUCAAGAAAUAAGAAGGAAUAUUAAGGAAGUAAUUACGAAGGAGAGAAAAACAAAAUGG